UCUGAAAUAUCAAUUUGAACAUCAGAUGCUCCAGCAAAAUUCUGUAUCUCAGUGUCAUUAAGGCAUUCAGCAAGCCACCCCUCAGAUGACUGAUCCAGGACCUCAUAACUGGAGGCGGACACAUCUGCUGAAAACCCCUGAGCCCACUCUGACGCUUGAGGUAAAACUUCAUCAAGUGAGUCCUCCCUCUCAUUUGAUAGAAACAUAGACGACAUCUCUUCAUUGCAAAAGUGGGAAUCUACAGCUUGAGUAUCAAACUGUAACAUUCGGCGUCUCUUUAACUGUGAAGAAGUUUCUUUGUGUUCAUCUGGUUCCUUGUGCAUGUUAUCACUAUGAUUAACAUGAUAAGCCAAAUCCCCACAAGCCUUAAUUGGGGUUGUUUCAUCUAACAUGUAAGAGAGAUCUUCCUCAUUCAAAGUCACUUCAUUCCAUAAACAUUGAGAUUCGUCUGCAUAACUGGAAUCCUUUUGAAGACAAUAU
rnacentral:misc_RNA from 1 species